rnacentral:rRNA from 1 species
GACGAACGCUGGCGGCGUGCUUAACACAUGCAAGUCGAACGGAAAGGCCCUGCUUUUGUUGGUUGCUCGAGUGGCGAACGGGUGAGUAACACGUGAGUAACCUGCCCUUGACUUUGGGAUAACUUCAGGAAACUGGGGCUAAUACCGGAUAUGAGCUCCUGCUGCAUGGUGUGGGUUGGAAAGUUUCGGCGGUUGGGGAUGGACUCGCGGCUUAUCAGCUUGUUGGUGGGGUAGUGGCUUACCAAGGCUUUGACGGGUAGGCGGCCUGAGAGGGUGACCGGGCACAAGAGGACUGAGGUACGGACCAGAAUGGUACGGGAGGCAGCAGUGGGGAAUAUUGCAGAGUGGGGGGAAGCCUGAGGCAGCAACGCCGCGUGCGGGAUGACGGCCUUCGGGUUGUAAACCGAUUUGGAAUGUGACGAAGAGUGAGUGACGGUAAUGGGUAAAGAAGCACCGGCUAACUACGUG